rnacentral:lncRNA from 1 species
GUGUACCAGAGGCGGGCCCCCAGCCUCAUCACCAAUCAAGUGGCCCGCCGGGGACGCGAGGGCGGGCUAACGUGGGGCGCCAAGGCUUAAACGUGACGGGCGGGCGGGCGUAGGGAGGAGUCCUGGGCAGGGAGCGGUGAGUGACGGAGGAUGCUGUCCAAUAGCAGGAGGGGUUGGGCUGCCUGAGCCAAUAGGAAGUCCGUAAGGCGGGACUGGGCCUGCAGCAAGUUCGGUUGCGCGGAGACCGCAGCUGUUCCCUGUCAGUGGAGGCAGCGGCCGUAGAGGCGGUGGCGACGACUUGCGGCGGCAGCGAGGAGGUGAGUGCCGCCGGCGCUGUGCAUCUCCCGCUUCCCGCAGCGGGUCGGAGCGGGUGGGCGUGCGCCGAGCUGCCGCGGGGACGCUUAUGUAAGGGUCGCGCGCGCCAAGGCGGCUCGGGCCCACGAGUGACGGCUGGAGGAGACGGCGGCGGGCGGCGCGCGACGCGGCGCGACGUGCGCCGCCCCUCCCUCCCUCCGGCGGGGACUGCCUGCGCGAGCCCUCCGCCCAGCCCUGGGACCCUCCUCGCGGAUCCCUCGCCCCAGUCCUCCAGGCUCGCCAGCCGGCGAGCAUCUUCCCGCGCGGGCACCGCCCGGCCUUGUCCGCCCUGCGCCCAGGGGCCGCUGGCGGCCUUAUUCCUGCUCUCGGCCCAUUUUGCAGAUGGAGAAGCUGAGGGCACGGAGCCCUCAGAUGCCUCGCGCGAGGUCCCUGAGGGUUCGAACCCAGGUCUGUCAGAGUCCGGAGCCCAAGUGUCCCCAUCAUACUGGAAGUUGCUCAGCUCUGAAGAAAGCCGCGGCGUAUAGUGCCUGCCUCCCAAGAGCCGACAAAACACUGAGGGAGGUCUUCCUGCCGAGUCUGCCCACUCUCAAUGCAGCUGUAUGUUGGCAUCGGCACCGUUCAGCACAGACUCGUUUUGCUGCCACCCACUCGGCCUUCCCUGUCCCAGAGGGGUGCUGAUCACAGUCCUAAAUAGCUCCAUGCUCUGAAGGCCCUGCUGUGACCUGCUUGAAACUGAGCAGGUGAGAGAAGGGUUGUUUUUAUUUUUGGCUGUGUACCUGUCAGCUUGUGGGACCUUAAUUCCCUGACAGGGUGGAACCCGUUCCGCUGUGGUGGAAGCCCAGAGUCCUCACCGCUGGACCUCCGGGAAGCCCAAGGGGCAUUUUAACACAGCGUGCUCCCCAGUCCCUAGUUUUAGGGUCUCUGCAGGUUCCAGUCUUUUGUGGGCAACACGGGUCUGUUUGUUUCCUGGGCUGCCUUAGCAAAGUACCAAACCUGGGAUGGCUUCCACCAGCAGAGAUGUGUGGUCUCAGUCUGGAGACCGGAAGUCCAAAGUCAAGGUGUCUGCAGCGCCACGCUCCCUCUGACAGUUCUAGGGAGGAUCUUUCCUUAUCUCUUCCAGCUUCCGGUGUUUCCGCAGCCCUUGGCAUUCUCUCCAGGCACGAGGCUGUCUUCUCGCUGAGUCUCCACAUCUUCACCUGUGUCUCUGUGUUCACAUUUCCUCUUUUAUAAGGGCACCAAGCAGACUGAAUGAGGCCCACCCUAACAACCUCAUUGUUGUGGAUUACAUUUCCAGCGAGUCACCUUCUGAAGCUCUGGGCUUGGCACUCUCACAUAUUUGGGGAACAAAAUUCAGCCCAAACGCUGGUGUCUACUUUCCUCCACCUUGAAACUGGGGUGACCUCGGUGAGCGAGGGGGACAGAGGGGUCCUCUGUGACUCUCCAGCUGGGGUGAGUGUGCCAUGGAGGUGUUGGGGAGUUUUCUGGACCACCUGUACGCCUGCUGUGCUUAGGUGUCUCCCUGCAGAGCAUUGUCCAGCCAUGUUUAGAAUCUAGGCUUUAGUGCCUGUCACCCCACUCGGCCCUGAAACACUGUCCUGGUUUCCACUGUCCGUCUGGGAGCUAUUUUGUUUGCUGACCUUGUCCCUUUGACCUUCCUUGUCAACACUUUGGGCUCUUAUCUGUGUCAGGGACAGUCCCAGUGGCUUGCAUGUACUGGUCUCAGUCUGGAGACCGGAAGUCCAAAGUCAAGGUGUCUGCAGCGCCACGCUCCCUCUGACAGUUCUAGGGAGGAUCUUUCCUUAUCUCUUCCAGCUUCCGUGUUUCCCGCAGCCCUUGGCAUUCUCUCCAGGCACGAGGCUGUCUUCUCGCUGAGUCUCCACAUCUUCACCUGUGUCUCUCUGUGUUCACAUUUCCUCUUUUAUAAGGGCACCAAGCAGACUGAAUGAGGCCCACCCUAACAACCUCAUUGUUGUGGAUUACAUUUCCAGCGAGUCACCUUCUGAAGCUCUGGGCUUGGCACUCUCACAUAUUUGGGGAACAAAAUUCAGCCCAAACGCUGGUGUCUACUUUCCUCCACCUUGAAACUGGGGUGACCUCGGUGAGCGAGGGGGACAGAGGGGUCCUCUGUGACUCUCCAGCUGGGGUGAGUGUGCCAUGGAGGUGUUGGGGAGUUUUCUGGACCACCUGUACGCCUGCUGUGCUUAGGUGUCUCCUGCAGAGCAUUGUCCAGCCAUGUUUAGAAUCUAGGCUUUAGUGCCUGUCACCCCACUCGGCCCUGAAACACUGUCCUGGUUUCCACUGUCCGUCUGGGAGCUAUUUUGUUUGCUGACCUUGUCCCUUUGACCUUCCUUGUCAACACUUUGGGCUCUUAUCUGUGUCAGGGACAGUCCCAGUGGCUUGCAUGUACUGCUCCCAGGAGGGGCCAUGCCUUAUUUAUCUUCGCCUAGGCGCUCACAUUACUCUGCAAGUUCGUGGCCUGGAGUACUGCUCAUUCAUUCACUCAUUCAUUUCCCAGACAGCUCAUUUUGGUGUCGGGCACUGAACAGGGUGCUAGGGAGACAGUGAGGGGCAAAAUAGAGAAUCCCGUCCAGGAAGUCCUCACAGCAUCUGGUGAGACGGUCAGUGAAUUGUUGGAGCAUCAAGUUCCCAGACACAACCUCGCCGAGAACGCACACAAGCCAGAGGACGGUGGAUUGUGGCAGGAGAGUGACCGAGCUUUGCUCAAGACGAAUGGCCGCCUGAAGAAGGGUAUCUGAGCUGUCUGGGGAGGUGGGGUGUGCAGGAAGGCCUUCCUGUGUGGUCUGGAAGCAUGUGGAGAAUUUCAGGCGACUGCCUUCCUCCGUGAGCCAGCCGGCGUUCGGGUGCCUGUGCAGGUCGGCAGUAGCGCCCUUUCGCACCAGGGGCAGUGUUUUCCUGCAAGUCUGCAUGUGUGCGUGGUGACUCUUCAGCUGUGUCUGACUUUGUGACCGCAUGGACUAUUGCCCACCAGGCUCCUCUGUCCCUGGGAUUCUCCAGGCAAGAAUACUGGGGCGGGUGGCCAUGCCUCCUCUGAGGGAUUUUCCUGACCCAGGGGUUGAACCCGCGUCUCUUAGGUCUCCUGCAUUGGCAGGCAGGUUCUUACCACUAGCACCA